rnacentral:rRNA from 1 species
AUAAUGGGUCAGCGACUUAUAUUCUGUAGCAAGGUUAACCGAAUAGGGGAGCCGAAGGGAAACCGAGUCUUAACUGGGCGUUAAGUUGCAGGGUAUAGACCCGAAACCCGGUGAUCUAGCCAUGGGCAGGUUGAAGGUUGGGUAACACUAACUGGAGGACCGAACCGACUAAUGUUGAAAAAUUAGCGGAUGACUUGUGGCUGGGGGUGAAAGGCCAAUCAAACCGGGAGAUAGCUGGUUCUCCCCGAAAGCUAUUUAGGUAGCGCCUCGUGAAUUCAUCUCCGGGGGUAGAGCACUGUUUCGGCAAG